CCCUAGCCCCGAUUGCAGCGGCAUCCUUUUUUGUUAUUGCGAUUGCGAAAAAGUUCAACUGUUGAUUUACUCUGUUCGCAAUAACAAAAAAGAUAUAGCGGAAAGCGGGAUUAAGC
rnacentral:sRNA from 1 species